rnacentral:rRNA from 1 species
GAUACUAAGAGUUUGAUCGUGGCUCAGGGUGAACGCUGGCGACGUGCCUAAGACAUGCAAGUCGAACGAGAUUCGUAUUUUACAUAAGGAAAUUACAUAAUAAUUUUCUUGUGUAGAAUACGAUGACAGUGGCGAACGGGUGAGUAAUAAGUACGAACGUACCUCUAAGUGGAGCAUAGCCUCGAGAAAUCGUGGAUAAUACUCCAUAGUCCUCGUAUUUCAUACAAGGAAAUUCAAAGCACUAAUAUCUAAACUCAAAACUUUUUUGUUUUGGAUUUUGAAUAUUUAGAUUUUAAAUUUAUUUAGGAUUUCGAUAUUAGAAUUUAGGAUUUUCUCGCAUGGAAUGCGAGGUAAAGAUUUAUCGCUUAGAGAGCGGCGUACUCGCUACCAGCUUGUUGGUGAGGCAAUGGCUCACCAAGGCGAUGACGGCUACCGGCUCUUAG